UUCGAUUAAGCCAUGCGAGUCGAGAGUCCUCGGGACUCGGCGUACCGCUCAGUAACACGUGGGUAACCUGCCCUAUGCUGGGGAAUAACCUCGGGAAACUGAGAAUAAUGCCCCAUAGCCCACUACGCCUGGAACGGUGAGUGGGUCAAAGCCCCGGCGGCAUAGGAUGGGCCUGCGCCGUAUCAGGUUGUAGGGGGUGUAAAGUACCCUCUAGCCAUCAACGCGUACGGGUGUUGGGAGACAUUGCCCGGAGAUGGAUUCUGAGACACGAAUCCAGACCCUACGGGGUGCAGCAGGCGCGAAAACUUGGCAAUGCGAGAAAUCGUGACCAGGGAACUCCAAGUGCGUAGGGUAAGACCUACGCUUUUCUUGACUCUUCAAAGGUCUUGGAAUAAGGGGUGGGUAAGGACGGUGCCAGCCGCCGCGGUAAUACCGGCGCCUCAAGUGGUAGUCGCUUUUAUUGGGCCUAAAACGUCCGUAGCCGGUCUGGUGCAUUCGUGGGUAAAUCAACCCGCUCAACGGGUUGAAUUCUGCGAGCACGGCCAGACUUGGGACCGGGAGAGGUGUGGGGUACUCUCAGGGUAGGGGUAAAAUCCUGUCAUCCUGAGAGGACCACCUGUUGCGAAGGCGCCACACUAGAACGGAUCCGACGGUCAGGGACGAAACCUAGGGGCACGAACCGGAUUAGAUACCCGGGUAGUCCUAGGUGUAAACGCCGUGAACUUGGUGUCGGGGAUUYGUAAUGGGUCCCCGGUGCCGGAGUGAAGAUGUUAAGUUCACUGCCUGGGGAGUACGGUCGCAAGGCUGAAACUUAAAGGAAUUGGCGGGGGAGCACUGCAACGGGAGGAGCGUGCGGUUUAAUUGG
rnacentral:rRNA from 1 species